UGAACUCAUCUCAUCGUGGGGCCUGUGCCUUUGCUACCGGGGUCAGGGAAUGAAACCUAGGGCCCUGACCUCAGUGAUGGAGCCUUCACCCUGUGUUAUUUGAGAGGGUGGAGGGUCAACUGGGGCCUCUACCAGGACCUCCCCAAAGUCUACCAGCCUCAUAUGCAGGAGAAAAUAACAGGCCCCAAAUGGUAGAGGAAUCAGCUCACAGUCACCUGGGAGUAGAGGCUUUCCUGGCUCUCUCUGCCUUGGACCUCUGCCACCGUGCUGCGUGUCCCGUCUCUAGAGGAAUUCAGAACAAAGGCCGCAGCCCUGAAGACAGCAAGGACCCUGCCGAAUAACACUGUCCCACUCUAAACUCAAGGAGGCUGUCCCAAGUCUUGUUCCCUGAGGCUCGUAGCUGAAAAGAAAUGGAUGUACAGUCACUCCCCAGGAACCCCUAGUUUGGCUGUGACUAAACUAUAUUCAUCUGGA